CUAUAUUCAGCAUAGUUGGGUAUAACAUGUUACAAAGUAACUGUAUUCUGUAUUCUAAUGAGUUUUUCUGAUAACGCAGUAAUGUAAGGCAUUACAUUUUAAAUAAUGUGAUUUUUUUCUUUAACCCAGCAUAAUUCUCCACUUGGAGUUGUUUGUCACUAUGUAACUGAACGUCGGUAAAAGAAGACCGCCUGUAAUUUUAUAUCUUCAGUGAACGGAGGCGAGGCCAAUCAGACGGGGUUUACAGGAAAAUAUGUGGAAACACUCCAAUCGUGUCUUAUUGGCUGACAGUCUCUCAAAUCUGACAAACGUUAGCUCACACAGUCAGUGUGAGGAAAAAUGGAUAUAGGCUGAUUUAUUUAUCUUUUUUAAUCCAGUAAAGGGGUUGAAACUGAAACAGUUACAUCCUCCCAUGCUGAGCAGGAAAACAAGUUGUGUAAAUGUCCAUAUGAGUUCCAGUUUACGUGAACAUGAUAUGAGCAGAACAGAAGGAAAGAUAAUGUACUUUGCAUGGCACUGUAGCAGAAAAACCCAUAGCUUAGUUAUUGUUCCGCUUGGCUAACGGCACCAAACUAGCCUAAUUAGAAAAGUUUUAUAUUUUAUCAGUCUGGUAGUCCUACAAACUGUAACCACACCGAGGCAAGUUUGAUCAUAAAUCCAAUUCUGAUUUUCACUUUGUAGUGUAUUUUUGUAAGUUUGAUAGGUUUUGAAAGUAACUUGAAAGUAAUUAGUAAUAGUAAUCAGUAAUGUAAUCAACUUGCAAUUUGAAAGUAGUAGUUAGUAAUCUGUAGUGGAUUUUAGGUUGUAUUAUGAGAUUGGAUACUGUUUUGUCAUCCAGCUGUUCCACCCCAUCAGGCCACAUCCCACUGUGAAUAAUUCAUAGUACUGCAAACACCCACACCACAUUCCCAUUAAAGCCUUACUCACACAGCCAGUGCACACACACAAACACACGCACGCAGAUAAAAACGACUGCAAGAUGGAAGGAAAAGCAACUGUGCCUACUGGUGUAUCCAAUGCACCCACAUACCUGGCUUGGUCCAUCUUUAACACAAUAUUCUGCUGUACUCCUCUUGGAAUCAUCGCCAUUGUGUUCUCCUGCCGAACUGACACGGCUAAUCUUAUUGGUGAUGCUACGAGAGCUAAUGCGCAUUCCAGUUUGGCCAAGAAACUGAAUAUCGCCGCACUGGUCAUCGGAAUAAUAUUUUUCAUCUUUUUCAUCAUCAUUACAUCAUUGUAUCUACAGACCUAACGACACAUUACAAGGCAGUGGAUCCAAAUCUUACUCCCCAUUACGGUUAUAUAAGUGUCAUAGUAAAUGUAAACACUCUCCGUAAUUGACAAGGUGUUUGUUUGAUUGUUUGUUUUAUUCCAUUUCAUUCUUGAUAAACAAACUUGUACUAAGUUAAAUUGCAUCAUCAUUUCAUGACCAAAGAAUCAUUGUGGAAACUAUGGAAAGUCUGUAGAUUUACACUGUAUUAACCACUGUUACUACAUUGUUAUUUUUUUUAUAUGAAUAUAUUGUUAUUCUUUUUUUUUUAUAUGAAUGCAUCCUAAUUUGUUAUAUAAUGGAUGCAUGAUAUCCAAAUAAAAUCUGUUAGUCUUUACA